UUAAAUUGAAGAGUUUGAUCAUGGCUCAGAUUGAACGCUGGCGGCAGGCCUAACACAUGCAAGUCGAACGGUAACAGGAAGCAGCUUGCUGCUUUGCUGACGAGUGGCGGACGGGUGAGUAAUGUCUGGGAAACUGCCUGAUGGAGGGGGAUAACUACUGGAAACGGUAGCUAAUACCGCAUAACGUCGCAAGACCAAAGAGGGGGACCUUCGGGCCUCUUGCCAUCGGAUGUGCCCAGAUGGGAUUAGCUAGUAGGUGGGGUAACGGCUCACCUAGGCGACGAUCCCUAGCUGGUCUGAGAGGAUGACCAGCCACACUGGAACUGAGACACGGUCCAGACUCCUACGGGAGGCAGCAGUGGGGAAUAUUGCACAAUGGGCGCAAGCCUGAUGCAGCCAUGCCGCGUGUAUGAAGAAGGCCUUCGGGUUGUAAAGUACUUUCAGCGGGGAGGAAGGGAGUAAAGUUAAUACCUUUGCUCAUUGACGUUACCCGCAGAAGAAGCACCGGCUAACUCCGUGCCAGCAGCCGCGGUAAUACGGAGGGUGCAAGCGUUAAUCGGAAUUACUGGGCGUAAAGCGCACGCAGGCGGUUUGUUAAGUCAGAUGUGAAAUCCCCGGGCUCAACCUGGGAACUGCAUCUGAUACUGGCAAGCUUGAGUCUCGUAGAGGGGG
rnacentral:rRNA from 1 species